rnacentral:sRNA from 1 species
UCAACAUCAUACAUUAUACUUCAUAUCAUCUUCUCUUUCUUCCACCUAAUCAUUCAACAUCU